GAUGAACGCUGGCGGCGUGCUUAACACAUGCAAGUCGAACGGAGUUUACCAGAGUGCUUGCACUCAGGUAAACUUAGUGGCGGACGGGUGAGUAACGCGUGGGUAACCUGCCUUAUACAGGGGGAUAACAGUCGGAAACGACUGCUAAUACCGCAUAAGCGCACAGUAUCGCAUGAUACGGUGUGAAAAACUCCGGUGGUAUAAGAUGGACCCGCGUCUGAUUAGCUAGUUGGUGAGGUAACGGCUCACCAAGGCGACGAUGCGUAGCCGACCUGAGAGGGUGAUCGGCCACAUUGGGACUGAGACACGGCCCAGACUCCUACGGGAGGCAGCAGUGGGGAAUAUUGCACAAUGGGGGAAACCCUGAUGCAGCAACGCCGCGUGAGUGAUGACGGCCUGGUGUAAGACUCUGUCUUCAGGGACGAUAAUAGACGGUACCUGAGGAGGAAGACCACGGCUAACUACGUGCCAGCAGCCGCGGU
rnacentral:rRNA from 1 species